AGGAGUAUAGUAGUAAUGGUAAAAUAGGGGUCUCCAAAACCCAAGUUCCGAGUUCGAAUCUCGGUGCUCCUG
rnacentral:tRNA from 1 species